GAAUAGCAGAAUAUCAGUGAAUCAUCGAAUCUUUGAACGCACCUUGCCGCCCCUUGGUAUUCCGAGGGGCACACCCGUUUGAGUGUCGUGAAAACCUCAACCUCCUUGGUUUCUUCUGGAGACCAAAGGAGGCUUGGACUUUGGAGGCCUUUGCUGGCAUCUCUGUCAGCUCCUCUCAAAUGAAUUAGCGGGGUCCUCUUUGCCGAUCCUUGACAUGUGAUAAGAUGCUUCCGUGUCUCGGUUUCUGGCUCUGUUGCUUUUGGGACCCGCUUCUAACCGUCUAGGUUGAGACAACGUUUGAGCUCGUCUCCCUUGUCGGGAAACCUGCUCGACCCCACGAACCCUUGGCCUCAAAUCGGGUGAGACUACCCGCUGAACUUAAGCAUAUCAAUAAGCGGAGGAAA
rnacentral:sRNA from 1 species